rnacentral:lncRNA from 10 species
UCACAUUUUUAUUGUUUAGCAAGUCUCCCUUUAUUGUUCUCUGACCUGAAUUGUGUCUUUUCUUACAGCUGAAGGAAAGGUGUAUCAAAAAAGGUUGCUGGAUGGUAUAAAGACUGUUAAAAGUAAGUGCAAAGUAUGGUGAGAAAGCAGAUAAAUCUGAGAUAUUCUCCUGUUUUAAUUUAUACAAAUUUAUUUGUAUGAAAUUUAAAAUCCCAUAUAUACAUCCUACCAAUAUUUAUGCAUAUGUUAGAUAUAUUAUGCCGUAGUUCUUUGGAAAAUUACCCAGCAUCCUAUAAAACUUGCACUAUGUUGAUAUAAACAAAAGAUAUCGUCAGAGGAUGAGAUUCUACAUCUAGUUUUAGUGGUGACCCUAUUUGUACCCUUAACUAGAUCUGAUUAAACUUUAUGUCUUGAUGAUUAAAGUGACAACUGUAACACAUAUGAAUUAAGAAGGAUUUUUUUCAUAUCUUAGUAUUCCUUUUUAAUAUUUUGUCUCUCCUAAGGAGGAAAAGUUGAUAUAAAUGACCUGGAUAAAUUUCUGGAAAAUAUGGGGAUUGAGCUCUCAGAAAAAGAACUUGAAGAUUUUUCAAAAGACCUACCAGUUGAUGUUGAUGAGAAGGUUGAUCUGAAAAACAUGAUGCUGAGAAUAAAAGAUUUUACAGGAGAAAAGGUUGAUGCCAGAGAUCUGAAAAAUGUUCUUGGAGACAUGGGGAUAGAAGUCAAUGAUAAGGACUGCGUGGAACUGCUAAAAUUACUACCAGUUGAUGGUGAUAAGAAAGUUUUUCGGAAUAGAUUGCUAACGGGUUUGAAGUCUUUCAAAGGAGGAAAGGUUGAUAUCGGUAACCUGAAGACGAUUCUUGGGAACAUGGGGAUCAAGCUCAAAAAUAAGGAACUUCAAAGUGUGAUACAAAAUCAACCUGUUGAUGCUAAUGGAAAUGUUCCUCUGAAAAAGGUGAUGGAUGAUGUGAAAGCAAUUAUAGGAGAAAAACUUAACGUGGAAAAUCUAAAAAAUAUUCUCGAAGGCCUUGGAAUAGAAUUCACACCUAAAGAAUACUUGGAACUGGUACAAAAUCUGCAAAUUGAUGAUGAUGGAACUAUAUCUGAAAAUAGAUUGCUAGAUGGUGUGAAAUCAUUCAAAGGUGGAAGAGUUGAUGUUAGUAACCUGGAAAAUGUUUUGAAAAAUGUGAAAAUCAUGCUUCCAGAUAAGGAACUUAAAGAUUUGUCACAAAACCUACCAGUUGAUGGUGAGCAAUAUAGACAGUAUUAGACCUUUUGAGGAAAUUUUAUUUAUAGGCUUAUGCAUGAGAAUUCCUGAGGCUAGAUCUGUUUGGGUGCUAAUAUGACUUUUUAUAACUCAGGGAAGAACUCAGUCCUAACGUAAGAACACAUUUUAAUUUAGUGUAUUUUCACUAAUUUCAGGGUACAUGGUAUAUGUCUUAGAGUGAGUUAAAAUAAGUCUGUCGUUGAAAGAAGCUAAACAGCUUAUUAACCACUGAGAAGG